rnacentral:rRNA from 1 species
UACGAAGGGGGCUAGCGUUGCUCGGAAUGACUGGGCGUAAAGAGCUCGUAGGCGGUUUGUCGCGUCUGCUGUGAAAACUCGGGGCUUAACCCCGGGCCUGCAGUGGGUACGGGCAGACUAGAGUGCGGUAGGGGAGACUGGAAUUCCUGGUGUAGCGGUGAAAUGCGCAGAUAUCAGGAGGAACACCGAUGGCGAAGGCAGCUCGCUGGGACGGUACUGACGCUGAGACGCGAAAGCGUGGGGAGCAAACGGG